rnacentral:rRNA from 1 species
UACAGAGGUCUCAAGCGUUGUUCGGAUCAUUGGGCGUAAAGGGUGCGUAGGCGGCGCGGUAAGUCGGGUGUGAAAUCUCGGGAGCUUAACUCCGAAACUGCAUUCGAUACUGCCGUGCUUGAGGACUGGAGAGGAGACUGGAAUUUACGGUGUAGCGGUGAAAUGCGUAGAUAUCGUAAGGAAGACCAGUGGCGAAGGCGGGUCUCUGGACAGUUCCUGACGCUGAGGCACGAAGGCCAGGGGAGCAAACGGG